CAGCUUCACAGAGAAACACACACACUCAGGAACAGGGACAUAAACAACAUACUAUCGGAGUCCUAGUUUGGAAGGAGAGUGUUUUUCCUCUCGAUGCUUGGACUUGUUUAAGCAGACGAAGACGACGGCGGAGACACUUCUCCUUUGGAGUCAUCAAUCAUUACUGUCAGGACCUCAGCUGGACCGUGGAACUACACAGAUCAUCAAUGUCAUCAUCGUCUUCAUCCUCAACUGGGCUCUUCCGGACAAGAUCGCUGCUGCUGAGGUAAUCUCCUUUCAGGAGGGACGGAUCGGAGUCAUCCAGCGCUUCGAUGAGCUGGAUACGAGCAGUGUGGCUGAUCCGGAGGGGAACUUCCAACUGCGUGUUACCUGUGGACGGAGCAUCACCGGCCUGCAGGCGGGGGCUGGCCUGACCCUGGCGCCAUGACAAUGGAGAGGAUCGAUUGGAUAGGCUGGAAACUGAGAAGGCAGCAGCUUCAUCACUGUCGUAGCACAUGGUACCCUCCACGCAGCUGUGGAACGAGCGGAGGAUACA